AUGAAUCCUAGGAUAAAGUAGAAACAAGGAGGAAUCAAAGAUGUAAAGAACAGUUUCUCCCCAAGAAGAACUCUGAAGAUGAUUCAUCCUUCCACAGCCAGAUCUCUUGUCGGAAAAAAAAAAAAAAAAAAAAGUGACUGGCCCAAAGCAUAUCCAAGAGGAAGCAUUGGAAUGACCAGUUGACAGCCAGGACUUCCCACUCUAGAGUUGUCAUUGUCCCAGAAUAGAGUGACAAUUAAAAUCUUGGAGGAGUCACCCAAGAAGCAUUUGAUUUUAGGAUUAAAUGAAAUUUAUCCCCUCAAUAUUGGAGAGAAGUAGCAGAACAAAGGAACACCCUCUAUGAAACACUUAAGGAAAAUGAGAGGCUUCACAGAGAAAUUGAAGAAAGAACAAUGAAAUUGACCACUUGGAAAAGGAGAGUAAACAAUUGGCAAAAGCGGCAGAGUACAGUAUAUGACAGAGGCAACCCAGAGACUGAAUGAUGAACCUCUGGAUAACUCUGAAGCACCAGAUAGUCAGGAAUUUGAUUCUGAAGAGAAAACUGGUGAAGAUUCUCAAGUGGAAAACCCAAAAAUUGGCACAUGCACUGAGAAUCCUGUCUUCCUCUACAGAUGCAAAACCUUGCACGUAA
rnacentral:lncRNA from 1 species